rnacentral:rRNA from 1 species
CUUACCACUUUGUGAUUCAUGACUGGGGUGAAGUCGUAACAAGGUAACCGUAGGGGAACCUGCGGUUGGAUCACCUCCUUACCAAGAAGAUGUGUGUUAAGUGAAGUGCUCACACAGAUUGUCUGAUGAA